rnacentral:rRNA from 1 species
CCUACGGGUGGCAGCAGUGGGGAAUAUUGGACAAUGGGGGCAACCCUGAUCCAGCCAUGCCGCGUGUGUGAAGAAGGCCCUCGGGUUGUAAAGCACUUUCAGUGAGGAAGAACGCCUGGUGGUUAAUACCCAUCAGGAAAGACAUCACUCACAGAAGAAGCACCGGCUAACUCCGUGCCAGCAGCCGCGGUAAUACGGAGGGUGCGAGCGUUAAUCGGAAUUACUGGGCGUAAAGCGCGCGUAGGUGGCUUGAUAAGCCGGUUGUGAAAGCCUCGGGCUCAACCUGGGAACGGCAUCCGGAACUGUCAAGCUAGAGUGCAGGAGAGGAAGGUAGAAUUCCCGGUGUAGCGGUGAAAUGCGUAGAGAUCGGGAGGAAUACCAGUGGCGAAGGCGGCCUUCUGGACUGACACUGACACUGAGGUGCGAAAGCGUGGGUAGCAAACAGGAUUAGAUACCCCAGUAGUC